rnacentral:tRNA from 1 species
GCCCGGAUGGCGAAAUUGGUAUACGCAGCAGACUCAAAAUCUGCCGCCCGCAAGGGCUUGUCGGUUCGAUUCCGACUCCGGGCA